GUUGAAGCUUUUGCAUAAACUUUUCUUUUUAAUCUUUUAUAUGCAAGUUUGUUGUUUAUUGGGGCUGUUCUGCUAUUGUUUAUUGGGGCUGUUCUGCUUUGAGUUACUUUUGAAACAAGCCUUUUAGUGCUUUUCUGUUCGUAGCUUUCUUGGGUUUUCAAUUCCACUUGCUCUCCAUUAGAGAUGUAAACUGAGAUAUGAAUGUAAAGCAAUUUUAGACUGUAAUGCUGAUCUGGUAAUGUUUUGGGUGCAAUUGUUUUAGGUGCAA
rnacentral:misc_RNA from 1 species